rnacentral:rRNA from 1 species
GUCCAGACUCCUACGGGAGGCAGCAGUGGGGGAUAUUGGACAAUGGGGGGAACCCUGAUCCAGCGACGCCGCGUGAGUGAAGAAGUAUUUCGGUAUGUAAAGCUCUGUCAGCAGGGAAGAAAGAAAUGACGGUACCUGACCAAGAAGCCCCGGCUAACUCCGUGCCAGCAGCCGCGGUAAUACGGAGGAUGCGAGCGUUAUCCGGAUUUAUUGGGUGUAAAGGGAGCGCAGGCGGCUUGGCAAGUCUGAUGUGAAAGGCUGGGGCUCAACCCCAGGACUGCAUUGGAAACUGUUAGGCUGGAGUGUCGGAGAGGUAAGCGGAAUUCCUAGUGUAGCGGUGAAAUGCGUAGAUAUUAGGAGGAACACCAGUGGCGAAGGCGGCUUACUGGACGACAACUGACGCUGAGGCUCGAAAGCGUGGGGAGCAAACAGGAUUAGAUACCCCAGUAGAG